rnacentral:misc_RNA from 1 species
CAGUCCUCUGCCGCGCCAAGUAUUUCUCCGCCCUCUUAUCCUACCGCUGGCAAAACAAUUCCUCCAUUGAAUCCAGCAAUCCCAUUUCCGAUUGUAAGAAUUUGACGUCUUUGAAAUUUGGAGUCCCGCCUACUCAAGGCUCCAUUGAUAUUCAUCUAACCGUGCUUGAACUCCUUUACACUAACGAUUUCGGCACCGUAAUCAACUCUGCAUCCGUGGCUCUUGAUAUUCUACCGGUGGCCUUGGAAUUGUUAUUCGAGGAUUGCGUGAAGAAAUGCGUUAAAUUCCUCGAAGUAGUCCCGUGGAGCGAAGAGGAUGAAAAACGUGUGCUUAGCUUGAUUCCUUUUUUGCGCGAGGAAGAAUCUGAAGAGCUUUUAGCUAGGGUUUCGCCUGGGAAGGAUGAUUCAUGCGAGGAAAUGCUUCACGGAUUGAUCUU